AUGACCACAACUGACAUAUAACAUGCAGUUUUACAAAAGGGUUGAUUACAAAAUAUUAGAAUAGCCCAGUAUAAACAGCUGCCACGAUAUGUUUUGCAGGUGUAAAGGGAUGGAAGAAUCAUGGUCCCUUCACUCAUACGCUGUGUAAUCUUGAUGUAUAAAUGUAGCCUUAGCAUAUGUGCAUCUUUUCCUUAUCACCACUCGCUUAUACCAUUGAUAAAAAGCUGCAUCUGUCAUAGAAGUACUGAGCAAAAUAGCGUCUGUCCUGUGAGUCAAACCCUGAGGCCAGAACUGACUGAAUCGCAACAGAUGUUUCUCUAACUGCCAGCGUACCUGUAGGAAGCCUGACCUUGCUGGGCUUUUGAGAAGCAUUUCUGACUAAUGUAAAACUGGCUGCCAGAGUGCCUGCCAGCCUGCUACAGAACUAAGAUUUUGGAUUUACUGCUGAGUUCAGCAUCAUGCAAAUUGGCUCAGAGAAGGUUUUUCUGUGUUUUUUCAAUGAAGCUCCAUUUAGAAAAGGUGAUUCUGUGGUGAAAGGCUAGAGGAACGCAAGAGCACCGUGCAAAGUCUUCUCCGGUUCAACUCAUUGGGCCGUGAAGUGUUGAGGAUCUUGGAAAAACGGGCCAUGUGGACCAAAAAGGACAAUGUUCAAAGACUCUAGAAGAUUUGGGAGCCAUAGUUCAGCCUUCGCUUAAAGGAAACAAAAGACACAUGAAAAGAGUAGCCUACCAUGGUAGACAGAAGCCUCGUAAGAAAAACAGAAACCGUCUGCUGGCUAGUGGCUCACUGAAAGGAAAGGAACAUUCCUUCUCACUGCAAGACUAUAGGAGAGAAGCGACUAACAGAGUAACAGUCAUUCUCACUGCACCAGAGCUGCAAACCUCCCACUGGAUGCAACGUGGCUGAGAGGUAUGUGAGAGCUAAGGGGUGUUGUCAAGGCACAUUAACCAACCCAUUUCUGUAUUUCUGUCAUCAUAUCAAGGUAUCUUUGGCUCACACUUUUGGGGAAGAUUUAGUGUUUCAAUUCCUGGGUCUGGAAAAUCUUGGUAACAUCCGUAUUUUGACAGCUGCCUAUUAAGAACAGUUACAAUUCACCCCCUAGUGUUUUUCAAAUACGAAGGCGCAUUUUGUGGAAAGAUAGUCUACCAAUGCAACAGCUUUGUUUUCUAAUGGGUAGUAACGCUACCAAAGAUUAAUGAUAACAUCUAGUUGUUUGGUUGGUGUCUUACACAACCCAAACUGUGGGGAGGGGUUUAAAACAAACAACAAAAAAAAAUGAAAAUAGAGGAUCCAUUUUGGGUUUAGUCCAUAACGUGGGGAAAUUGCACACAACACUUACAAAAGGCAAAACUUCAUCUCUGUUGUCCUUGGAUUCAGAAGAGUUAGAUCCAGAGGAGGCACUGGGGAGAACCAGCUCGUUCUGCAUUGCUGUCCAUCCACUGUGUAACAGCCUAUGGAUGCAUCCCACAGAGCAGGUAAACUCAGAGGGUUUCUCUAAUCGACUCAAUCUGCGAAACGGCAUCUGCCCUGUGACAAAGGUGUGAAACUACUAAGUUCAGAACCUUAAAAGUGGUUUUGAAAUAAAGAGGAUGAAUAAGGGAGAACAUAACAGGAAGUUAUUUCUGCAAUUCAUGUUUAUGUGUGACAAAGCGAACACAAGAGAACCGGUAAAAUAUUAGUGGAAAGUAGGUAGUAGGAGCUGCUGUACCAGGUGCGUACUGUAAGUAUUUAAUUUCUUUGCAAAUAUUAGCUGUUUGCUUUUUUUUGUUUAGUUCGACAUUAUCCCUGAUAUGUGCUUAAUCCACAGUCCAAAGAGUCAAUGGAAAGCUUUACAGUGGUUUAACUGCUGGUCAAGCAUCAUAUGCAUUUUAAUUAAAUUCAAAUGUUAAAACUCAGCUGUUGAAGCCAGACUAGGUCUUUCUUCUGUUUUGGUAAUAACUUUAGGGGAUAAUAAUUGAGCAAGUUGUUCAUUUGCAGACAUUCCCCCUUACCUCCAGCAGUUCAAAAGCAUCCAGUUUACUAAGGCUUCUAUAUAAUCUGAGAAAUUACAGAAUAAUUGACAAGAAAAUGUCCCAAAGAACACCAGAAAAUAGCAACGGAGUGAUUACUUGAGUGACAUGGAAACACAUAUUUGAAAUCUACCUUAAAUUCUAUAAAGAACAGGCAAUUUAAAUUCAGUGGAAAAGGUUAUACAGGACUGAGAGUUAUGCUAGCCACUGUUUUACUGCAUUGGUUUUACUGCAUUGAAGCUGCAUAGAUGUGGAUUAUUUAUUCAUUAAAUAAAUCUUGUGUUCCUUCAACGUAAUACACAUUUAGUUCAGAACUGGUGCAGAGAAGCGUGGAGUUUCUGCAGCGCAGUCGGUGCAAAUCAAAGCUGCUCACUCUUUGAGCUUUUCCAUAGCUAGCACUGAGCUGGGAGAAGCCGUGAACUGAAACACAGAUGUGGUCAAUCAGGCACCUGUGUGUGUGGGCAUGCUUUUCUGUGCCCAUAUUGGAGAUAUUUUGCCAGCAGAGAAGGGACGGAGAGUUGAGGGAAAGGAGAUCUGUAUUUAAGGAAAAAAAAAAUAUAUCUUUCUUGAGGUUGCACAUCCACCUGACUGGCAAUAAUGCCUAACUUUUCUUGUUGAAAGAUUUUUUUAUUUUUUUUUUUACUGAAAAUGACAUAGUUCUGGCAGAGUACAUAGAAAAAGUUUUUGAGACAGCUGUCUAAGAGGCAUGUGGAAUCUGAAUUUCCCAAUUGCUUGUAGUUACUAAAAAGCGCAGCAACGCUGCUGGUACGGUACACCAAUUCAAACUGUGCAGAUGUACCACAUAUUGCAGUAGCUCCCAGCCUGAGGUGUUCGUUGCUAAAUUUGAUGUCCAAAUGACUGUAGCAACGGACAAUGGAAGUGCUUUAGCAGAGAUAAAAAAGUGCAUUCCCCCUUCUUUCCAGCUGUUUACUAAAAAUUCUGAAAAUGUCGAUCCUAGAGAAGAAACAUAGCUCUAUACCAUAAACAUACAAUGUAUUUGUUUAGCGUUUGAACCUUAAAUUCUUUAAGAACGUUGCGCAAACAGUGGGUUCUCCCCCCUUACCUCGCACCAGUCCUGUUUAGCGAGGGCUUGAUCAGACCUAAACUGUUCGUCGCUGUGCCAGUGUUGUAGGGUUCAGUGCUUAACGGGAGUGUUGGGUUAUAUGCUAAAGAAGCAUAUGGCUUUGCAAAUCAGGGAGGAAUUUAUUUAGUAGUAGAACUUUAUUUAAAGAUUGCUCAUUAAUUCGUUAAAUCAGCUUUUGGUUACAAGUAUUUGCUUAAGUUUAUGCAACAUAA